CCGUUAGUUAUAUACUUAAAUCAUUAACAAAUUUGAUCGUCGAUGAGUAAUAAGUUUAAUAUUUAAAACCUGCACAUCGCCAUUUGGCAUUUAGUACUUUAUCACUAUAAAAACAUUUAAUUACCUUUUCAAAAUCGUAUUAAUACAAGUGCACUUGUGGAUAGAAUAUGCGAUUACCCAGCAGACUAUUACCAACAACGGACAAAUUAGGCAGUUCCAUGACUGAUUAUCUGCAACUACGAGAACAUUUCACUGUUAUAUAAUUGUCCGUUGAAAAAUCCAGUAGCAUACGCCACUAGCAAUGGUUACUGCCACACAGUUACGGACAAAAAAAAGCAUUUUGUUCAAUGGGCUAAGACAGAGAAGAGGAAAAAAUCAAAUAUAGAAAAUCACAUUCCACAAUAGAAUGAAACGGAGAUGAAAAAUAAAAAAUGAUUACCAAAACGUCCAGUCAUCGGCCUUAUGCGCUGUUGACCAACGACCCCGAGAAAAUAUAAUAUUAUUAUACAUAUUCAUUAUUAUCCGUUCAAUUUGCGCAAACGUUUGACAACACUUAGCCCGCGGUGACCCAGGUCAGUGUGCGGUCGGUCUCCCCUGAAGUGGCGGCGUGCAAAUUAAAGAUCACGCGGCCUAUCAUACCGCGGGGGUCUCUGCCGGUGUUUAUAUCACUAUUAUCAUUAUUAUUAUUAUUAUUAUUAUUAUUAUUUAUUAGUAUUAUUAUUAUUAAUAUGAUUGCGUUGCGUAUGUACGGGAAAAUAUUGGGCACGCGAGCAGCGGCGUCGACGGCAAUAAUCAUUAUUGUGCAAACUCUCGUGUCGCCGCCGCCGGGCAAAACUUAAGAGAUGGUCGUCGUUGCAAGGACUCUCUCUGCACGGGCGGAACGGACCGCGGACUUACUCUGCGAUCGAGGUCUCAUUCACGACUUACAGUAUACUCGCAGCACGAUUAAUAAAAAGGAAGUCCUCCCCGCAACGAUUGUGUGGUAGAAAUAAGUUUUUAUUUUUGUAUUUAUUUUACCGGCCCGCCCAAGGAUCUAUUUUAGUAUAUCUCUGUAUUGACCCUAAAUGAAUUUUUUUUUUUAUUCAUUUCGUUUUACUGCCUCGGCAUACACGUAGUUAUAAUAUUAGUUAUAAUAAUAUUAAAGGGGCAAGGCGCAGUCCCUGAAGGAAAGAGGUUAUGAUAAUAUUAUUUUAUUAUGUAUUAUAUACUUAUAGUCACUCGGAGGCGGCGGCUGCAGCUGGUGGUUGACACGAAUAUUCCGAUCGUAAUAUUCUAAUUAGAUCACACGCGGACUUGGCGUAUUUACGAGCCAAGGUCAGUAGCGGCGCAGUGUAUAGGAGGACGACGAGGAGUAGAGUAGCACUGCUGCAGCACGACAGAGUGUUAUGCAAACAGCCAAGUAAUACUUUCUCGUAACACACAAUAUAACACGUGUGUGCGUGUCAUUCAGUAGAACACAAUAUCCGCCGUAUAUCGUAUAUAUUACGGUAUUAAUGUAUUAUAUGGUCUACCAUGGUCGUGGUAAGCGGUCCAUUGUGCUCGUACCACGCCGUCGUUCGCGGCCGUCGUCAAUGGGCGAUCUGCGCAAAUGCGAUUAUAAUAAUAGUGCACUUUCUUUCGCAUUCGCGCGGACUUUCUAAGACACGCACGUCGCAUGCGGUCGGCAAACACGCACUCGAAACUACGAUAUUGAUAUUUUUUAUGUGCGCACAUAAUAUAUUGAUAUAAUAAUCAUAAUCGUAUACGGACGUACGUAUUACUCUAUCACAUUAUUAGUAUUGAUGCCAAUAAUUAUGUAUUAUAUUGUUAUCAUAAUAUGCAGCCGACUACGCGACCUGUGCGCGAGUGAAGAACUCUGCAGCAGCCAUAACAUAAUAUAACGAUCGGUCCGUGCUAAAUAAAAAAACAAAUAUAAUAUUAUUACGCUGCACAAUGUGUUUUAUGGUACAGUGAAGGUCCGGCUUGUACACGAAAAUAUCGUCUUUUGUUUUCUCGAUAUAUAAUUAUAGGUAUCGGUGAGUAUCUAUACUUGAAUUUGGCGAUUUCGUCACUGCGACGGUGGUCCAGACUGUGCGUUUUAAUGCCUCUAAGAGCGCACGCCCAAAUAAACAGUCGUGUAAUUUUUUUAUACACAAUGUGUACCUAUAAUUGAUAUACGAUAUAUAUAUUUAGUUGUAUUAAUAAUUAAUUAUACAAAUAUACAAUAUACUAUAUGUAAUAAUAAGUUCUCGUAUCGGACUCGUAGACCCAUUAUUAUUACCACGUGUUAGCCUUUGCGAGAUUAUUUCAUACCUCAAUUAAAGCGUAAAAAAUACAAUACUCCUAUGUACACUCAGUGUGUAUGUUUAGUGUUAAUGAAUUGUAUAUUAUAUAUAACAUAAUAAACUAUGAUUUAUUUAUAUAUUUUAUAAUAAAUACAUACUGCAUGAUUUUAGGUCACUUGUCUGAAAAUCAAAGGUUACAAUACUGAUGACAACAUGGCGUGUGGUCCUGUUCAAUUAUAUUAUAUUUGUACUUCUGCUUUUAUGUAUACUGAUGAGUAAUGAGUAAUGAUAUAUUAUUAUUAACGAUUUGUAAUAGAACGCUUAUGUCUACAUUAAAAUUAAAUAUCAGCUGUAUUAAUAAGGUAUAAGGUGUAGGUACCUACUUAAUGUAAUGUUAAAUGAAUAUUAUCCAUACAUUUGUACUCAAAUAUUGUAAAGUAAAAAGGUGUAUACUUAUUUUGUGUUUGAUAAAUAACUGGAUACAAUUGUAAUUUGAAAAUUUACUAAUACAAAAAAAAAAAAAUACCAGAUUUCAAUGAUCGAUCACUAUUAAUUUUCGAAAUACCUAAUACUCUGUGCUGUGCUGAAGAGGUGAAAACUGCAAUGCUUGAAUCUAUAUUUUAUACUUUCGUUAUGAUUAUAUUUUGUGUUCUUUUGUUAAAUCUAACAAAUUGUAAAACCGCUAAAUAAGUCAUUUAGUUUAUUAAAAUUGUAUUUACAAUUCAAAAACUCAUACUAAACCACUUUUUAAAUUAAUUUUAGGCAUUUAUUGACCAAUGGUGAAUCAUAAUUAUAAUACUAGAUAUAAAUGCAACGUAAAUAUGGUUUCAAAUAGUAAUACUACUUUUGGUUCGCAGGGUACCUACACUAAUGGUAGGAUCAAUUUUGUGUGAAAAAUUGAAUAUAAAUUUAUUUAAAUUCAAUAGCGUUAAGGAAUAAAAAAAAAUGUUGUAUGCUUUGAACUUUGAUAAUAUUUGAACAUAUAUUUAUUUUUGUUUAAAUUAUUAUUCCUCAUUUUUUAAAUUUGUUUUCUAAUGUUAUAUUCUAUUUAGCUUGCUGUGACAUAAUAACAUGUAUAAUUGACUUAUAAACUUAACUCUACUCUCCCAAUACAAGCUAUGCUUAUAGGGAGUGUCGCAUAUUAUUUAUUUGUCCUGUAUUUUUAUUUGUAUUGUAUACCUAUAUUUGCAAAAUAUAUAUAUUAUUUAUUUAUUUAUUA